GGGGAAUAUUGCACAAUGGGCGAAAGCCUGAUGCAGCGACGCCGCGUGCGGGAUGAAGGCCUUCGGGUUGUAAACCGCUUUUAAUUGGGAGCAAGCGAGAGUGAGUGUACCUUUUGAAUAAGCACCGGCUAACUACGUGCCAGCAGCCGCGGUAAUACGUAGGGUGCAAGCGUUAUCCGGAAUUAUUGGGCGUAAAGAGCUCGUAGGCGGUUUGUCACGCCUGGUGUGAAGGUCCAUCGCUUAACGGUGGAUCUGCGCCGGGUACGGGCAGGCUAGAGUGCAGUAGGGGAGAUUGGAAUUCCCGGUGUAACGGUGGAAUGUGUAGAUAUCGGGAAGAACACCAAUGGCGAAGGCAGAUCUCUGGGCUGUUACUGACGCUGAGGAGCGAAAGCAUGGGGAGCGAACAGGAUUAGAUACCCUGGUAGUCCAUGCCGUAAACGGUGGAUGCUGGAUGUGGGGCCCUUCCACGGGCUCCGUGUCGGAGCUAACGCGUUAAGCAUCCCGCCUGGGGAGUACGGCCGCAAGGCUAAAAC
rnacentral:rRNA from 1 species